rnacentral:rRNA from 1 species
UGCGUAGGUGGCUGCGUAAGUAGCGUGUGAAAGCCCUCGGCUUACCCGGGGAAUUGCGCGUUAUACUGCGCGGCUUGAGGAUUUCAGGGGAAGGGGGAACUCCAGGUGUAGCGGUGAAAUGCGCAGAUAUCUGGGGGAAGGCCGGUGGCGAAGGCGCCCUUCUGGGAAAUUUCUGACACUGAGGCACGAAAGCGUGGGGAGCAAACAGGAUUAGAUACCCUGGUAGUCCACGCCCUAAACCAUGGAUACUAAGUAGGGGACCCUGCAAGGGGUUCCUUGCCGGAGCAAAAGCGUUAAGUAUCCCGCCUGGGGAGUAUGGUCGCAAGGCUGAA